rnacentral:lncRNA from 1 species
CCCAAAAAAAAAAAAAAAAAAAAAAAAAAAGCUGCGGCGGCCGGGAGCGGGGUUUUGUCGGAGCCGCCGGUCCCCGCCCGGGAUGGUGGGAGCGGAGGGAGUUGGUGUUCGAGCGAGGGGCUGUGGCGGGGUGUUGUGUUGGAAGCGAGGAUGACUGGGAGUAGGAAAGCUGGUGAUUAUUUCCUGGCGUUGCCCUCCUGGGCCAGGUGAUGAUACACAGUUGGCUUCUCCCCUCGACCCUUCCGAGCAACCCUUUUCUGUUCCUGUGGCGUCUGGAAAUGUUGGCCCCGUGGGUGCUGCAGAGCUGACUCCAGACAGUGCUUCCAAGCCUGACAGCUGCAAAGAAGUUGAUAACCACGUUUCUGAGGAUGAACCUUUGGCUGUGGCCCCUGGUGAUGAUGUAGAACUGCCUGCUCAAGAAACCGAGGGUUUCACAAGGGAAAAAAAGAGGUAUUGUGUUAUCUCAUAUCUUACAAUGCAUUUCCAUGUCUGUACAUCUUUUGCUUAAGAAAUG